UGACGGAGCAACGCCGCGUGAGUGAUGAAGGUUUUCGGAUCGUAAAGCUCUGUUGUUAGGGAAGAACAAGUGCGAGAGUAACUGCUCGCACCUUGACGGUACCUAACCAGAAAGCCACGGCUAACUACGUGCCAGCAGCCGCGGUAAUACGUAGGUGGCAAGCGUUGUCCGGAAUUAUUGGGCGUAAAGGGCUCGCAGGCGGUUUCUUAAGUCUGAUGUGAAAGCCCCCGGCUCAACCGGGGAGGGUCAUUGGAAACUGGGAAACUUGAGUGCAGAAGAGGAGAGUGGAAUUCCACGUGUAGCGGUGAAAUGCGUAGAGAUGUGGAGGAACACCAGUGGCGAAGGCGACUCUCUGGUCUGUAACUGACGCUGAGGAGCGAAAGCGUGGGGAGCGAACAGGAUUAGAUACCCUGGUAGUCCACGCCGUAAACGAUGAGUGCUAAGUGUUAGGGGGUUUCCGCCCCUUAGUGCUGCAGCUAACGCAUUAAGCACUCCGCCUGG
rnacentral:rRNA from 1 species